GACGAACGCUGGCGGCGUGCUUAACACAUGCAAGUCGAACGGAAAGGCCCUGCUUUUGUGGGGUGCUCGAGUGGCGAACGGGUGAGUAACACGUGAGUAACCUGCCCUUGACUUUGGGAUAACUUCAGGAAACUGGGGCUAAUACCGGAUAGGAGCUCCUGCUGCAUGGUGGGGGUUGGAAAGUUUCGGCGGUUGGGGAUGGACUCGCGGCUUAUCAGCUUGUUGGUGGGGUAGUGGCUUACCAAGGCUUUGACGGGUAGCCGGCCUGAGAGGGUGACCGGGCACAUUGGGAAGGGGGUAGGGCCCAGGGUCCCACGGGGGGGAAGGGGGGGGAAAAUUGGCCAAUGGGGGGGAGCCGGGGAGAGCAACCCCGGGGGGGGGGAGACGGGCUUUGGGGUGGAAACCGCUUUUGGCCGUGAAGGAGGGGGGGGGGAGGGUAAGGGUAAAAAAAGCACGGGUAAACUAGGU
rnacentral:rRNA from 1 species